CGCGGCUGCCGCCAGGGACAAGGCGCAGGCUCCGUGGGGCGGGGCUGUGGGCGGGGUGCGUGCCAGCGGUGCGUCGGGGGCGCCCGGUGGCUCGUGGUGUGAGUGACGUGACGUGACGUGACGUGAGGCGGGCAUAGGCUGAGCUGCGCAGAGCGGUGGGGCCCGCGCUCCCAUGGAGGACGAAGACUGCCCCGACCUGGUCCCGAUAGACGCCGUCGGCUCUGAGGAGACUGAGUCCAGCCCCGGCGGGAAGAUCCCCGUGACCAUCAUUACGGGCUACUUAGGAGCUGGAAAAACAACUCUUCUAAACUACAUACUGACAGAACAGCAUAAUAAACGAAUAGCAGUUAUUCUGAAUGAGUUUGGAGAAGGAAGUGCCUUGGAGAAGUCCCUGGCAAUCAGUCAAGGAGGAGAACUCUAUGAAGAAUGGCUGGAGCUCAGGAAUGGCUGCCUGUGCUGUUCAGUAAAGGACAGUGGUGUGAAGGCUAUUGAGAACCUGAUGCAAAGGAGAGGAAAAUUUGACUAUAUAUUGUUAGAAACAACUGGUUUGGCAGAUCCAGGAGCUGUGGCCUCCAUGUUCUGGGUUGACUCGGAGCUGGGAAGUGACAUCUAUCUUGAUGGUAUUGUAUCUGUUGUUGAUGCAAAGCAUGGACUGCAGCACUUGACAGAAGAAAAGCCAGAAGGCCUUGUCAAUGAAGCUUGUCGGCAGGUUGCAUUAGCUGAUCUUGUAAUCAUCAAUAAAACAGAUUUGGUUUCAGAGGAAGAAUUGAAUAAAGUCAGAACAUCUGUCAGGUCAAUAAAUGGACUUGUUAAAAUUCUAGAGACGCAAAGAUCAAGAGUUGAUCUCUCCAAUGUCUUGGACCUGCAUGCUUUUGACAGUUUAUCUGGCAUAAGUAAGGAUUUCUGCCAGCGUAGCAGAUGGACACAACAUCUGAUCGGUGUGACUCUACUGUUAGAACCUUGUGGUCUAUACAUGCCUGAAGUGACAGGAAACACAUCAAGAGUUCAGGAUUCUGUGGAACACAGUAUGAGAAGAAGACAACAAAACAAAGAAGUUUGCAGAAGAAAUUUGAGCAGAUGAAGACAACACAUGCACAUCUAGAUAAGGGUAUUAUUACAGUAACAUUUGAAGUUCCAGGAAAUAUAAAAGAAGAAAACUUAAAUCUCUUUAUUCAGAAUCUUCUGUGGGAGAAGAACAUUAAAGAUAAGACUGGGUGCACCAUGGAUGUCAUAAGACUGAAGGGACUGGUAUCUAUUCAAGGCAAAUCUCAUCAGGUGAUAGUCCAAGGUGUCCAUGAACUCUAUGACCUGGAAGAGACUGCAGUAGAGUGGAAAGAAGAUGAAAAGAGAACAAACAGGCUGGUCCUAAUAGGCAGGAACUUGGACAAGGAGACCAUCAAAGAAGUAUUCAUAGCCACUGUGACAGAGAAACAAGGAAAUGGUUGACAUCAAAGUACAGAAAAGAUGAAAUGUCAGUGCUUAACCCUGCAAACUUUUUAUCACAGAAAAGGCCAAAUGAUAUGCAGUAUAGUAGUUAAUUUUUCCUCUUGCAUUUUACACAGCAGUUAAACCCUGAAGUCCUCCUAAGAAUCUCAGCUGACCUACUUUUUAAAGACUAGGUUUUAUGGUCUAGAAUCAGACACAGGGAAUUCUACCAUUUUGGAUUGGGCUUGAGUUAUGUCAGUAACAUAAUUUACCUGUACAGAAAUGCAGAUAGGCAAAAGGCUGUUGUUUAUGCUGUAAACGAAGCAUUACAUGUUUGAAGCCUAGUCAUUUCUCCAGCUACCUGUCUUUUAGUACUGGAAAUGAAGCAACCGUUUUUAUUGCCAGGGAUAUAAUCACAGUGAGAAGUAUUUAGUGUUUACUAUUAAACUGUAUUCCAUCUCUUUCCA